GACGUAGGGCGCGAGCGUUGUCCGGAUUUAUUGGGCGUAAAGAGCUCGUAGGCGGCUCGUUGCGUCAACCGUGAAAACCCGGGGCUUAACUUCGGGCUUGCGGUUGAUACGGGCGGGCUGGAGUUCGGUAGGGGAGACUGGACUUCCUGGUGUAGCGGUGAAAUGCGCAGAUAUCAGGAGGAACACCGGUGGCGAAGGCGGGUCUCUGGGCCGAUACUGACGCUGAGGAGCGAAAGCGUGGGGAGCGAACAGG
rnacentral:rRNA from 1 species